rnacentral:rRNA from 1 species
GACGAACGCUGGCGGCGUGCUUAACACAUGCAAGUCGAACGGAAAGGCCCUGCUUUUGUGGGGUGCUCGAGUGGCGAACGGGUGAGUAACACGUGAGUAACCUGCCCUUGACUUUGGGAUAACUUCAGGAAACUGGGGCUAAUACCGGAUAGGAGCUCCUGCUGCAUGGUGGGGGUUGGAAAGUUUCGGCGGUUGGGGAUGGACUCGCGGCUUAUCAGCUUGUUGGUGGGGUAGUGGCUUACCAAGGCUUUGACGGGUAGCCGGCCUGAGAGGGUGACCGGCCACAUUGGGACUGAGAUACGGCCCAGACUCCUACGGGAGGCAGCAGUGGGGAAUAUUGCACAGUGGGCGGAAGCCUGAUGCAGCAACGCCGCGUGCGGGAUGACGGCCUUCGGGUUGUAAACCGCUUUCGCCUGUGACGAAGCGUGGGUGACGGUAAUGGGUAAAGAAGCACCGGCUAACUACGUG